AACGAACGCUGGCGGCAUGCCUAACACAUGCAAGUCGAACGAGACCUUCGGGUCUAGUGGCGCACGGGUGCGUAACGCGUGGGAACCUGCCCUUAGGUUCGGAAUAACUCCCCGAAAGGGGUGCUAAUACCGGAUAAUGUCUUCGGACCAAAGAUUUAUCGCCUUUGGAUGGGCCCGCGUUGGAUUAGCUAGUUGGUAGGGUAAAAGCCUACCAAGGCGACGAUCCAUAGCUGGUCUGAGAGGAUGAUCAGCAACACUGGGCCUGAGACACGGCCCAGACUCAUACGGGAGGCAGCAGUGGGGAAUAUUGGACAAUGGGCGAAAGCCUGAUCCAGCAAUGCCGCGUGAGUGAUGAAGGCCUUAGGGUUGUAAAGCUCUUUUACCCGGGAUGAUAAUGACAGUACCGGGAGAAUAAGCUCCGGCUAACUCCGUG
rnacentral:rRNA from 1 species